AAACCAACUUUUGGUGAGGAACCAACAGCAAAGGUAUACAAUAUAACAGCCAAGUGACAGAGAUAGAAAUACGCUACAGCAGCAGCAGUUCAGGUUAUACAAUAUACUUAGGAAUGGAACAUGAUCUAACAAGAUUAUGGACAAUGUCAUGCAUUGGGUAAGGGAAGCCUGGGAGGUUUGAUUUUUCCCAAAGAGCAACUCUCCAUUUGACAGUAUCACUCGACAUCCAUUGAAGAUGCAGUCAUUUCUGAGUUUCCAUAUACACGAGAGCAUAGUUAAUGGUUCUAAAUCCCAGGGCUUCAGUAGAAUCUUCUUGCAUUUAAAACCCAUCCACCAGUGUAGUAGAUCAACAACUAAAGUAGGUGUUGCCCAUUUAAGAUCCCACCAGGGUAACAGAUCAGCCCAUGUUUUCCAAAUGCCACUACACCUCAGAAAAAUGUGAUUUAAAGAUUCAGGUUCAGCUUUACAAAGGGGACAUAAAUUAUUUAAGCUUCUGUUGAGCACUCCAAGUCCUUGUAGAAAAUCAAUGGUUUUAACUCUUACCUUCAAAACCAACCAGCCCAAAAAUUGAACUCUAGGUGGUGCCACAUUGUUCCUUAAUAAUUUCAGAAUCGAAAACUUGGGACCAUGAUGAGCUUCCAACCAUGAUCUAAGUGAUGCAACUAUGUACUGCCCAGAUGAGGACCUCUGCCACCUAAGAGAAUCAUGGAGUGUUGCUCGCAGGCUUGGUGUCUCAAAUAGCAUGAGAUAGAGUUUAUUGACCUUAGCUUCCUCUCAAGGCCUUAAUUGCCUCCUGAAGGAUAGGUUCCACCCCUAUGAGAAUUCCUUUCUUUGCACAAAAUACUCCAAGGAUUUGUCAUUUUCUACAGAGUAAAUAGACUAGGGAACUCUUCUUUAAGUUUAGUAUUUCUCAACCAUUUGUUCAACCAGAAGUGUACUCUUUUGCCAUUACCCACAAUAAUUUCUAUGCUGGAUAGAAAAAAAUUUAGUAACUCUGAAUUGACCUCAACCCCAGAAAGAAUUCUUUUCUACACAUUAGACAUCCUCCCAGUAGGCUCAAGAUUAGGCUACCGACCCCACCAACUAGCGGUGUGCAACCAAUCGGCUGACCCUCCACACCCGACCGACCUGAGGUACAAUUGAUGGAUGCGUGACACUUGGCAAGCAGUUGCGGGUCCAAAAAUAGUAUUUUCGCGGGUGCGGGGCUGGUUGCGGGUGAUCCACCAAUUCUAUUGAUGUACCCGACCCGCCUGCCCUACACAAAUUUCCCCUCAUUUACACCCAACAUUUGCCUCCUUUUUUUUUUCAUUUCUGGUUUGAGCCCUAGGUUUCGAGUUCAUCUCUCUCUAAACUCUCUCUGUCUCUCUCACACUUAAACGGAGGCGACGAGAAUCGAUCGGUAUCGGCGACUGUGGUCUGUGUUGGCGAUGGCGACUGUUUUCUAUGUCUUCUUUUCUCUUCGAUGAUCGGCUAGCGACAGAUUAACAUGUCAAUGGGUUCAAACAAUGAUGCUGGAUUUUUUCAAAAAAAAAUAUGCAAAUGUGGAAGGAAAAAAAAAACAAAAAAAAAAAAACAACAGUGUACAUAUCAGAAUAAGAGAAAAA